rnacentral:rRNA from 1 species
AUACGUAGGUGGCAAGCGUUAUCCGGAAUUAUUGGGCGUAAAGAGGGAGCAGGCGGCAGCAAGGGUCUGUGGUGAAAGCCUGAAGCUUAACUUCAGUAAGCCAUAGAAACCAGGCAGCUAGAGUGCAGGAGAGGAUCGUGGAAUUCCAUGUGUAGCGGUGAAAUGCGUAGAUAUAUGGAGGAACACCAGUGGCGAAGGCGACGAUCUGGCCUGCAACUGACGCUCAGUCCCGAAAGCGUGGGGAGCAAAUAGGAUUAGAUACCCUAGUAGUCCACGCCGUAAACGAUGAGUACUAAGUGUUGGAUGUCAAAGUUCAGUGCUGCAGUUAACGCAAUAAGUACUCCGCCUGAGUGGUACGUUCGCAAGAAUGAAACUCAAAUGAAUUGGCGGGG